CCUUCGAUAGCUCAGUCUGGUAGAGCGUGGGACUGUAAUAUGUUACAUUUGAAGAUCCCGAGGCCACUAGUUCGAUCCUGGUUCGAAGGA
rnacentral:tRNA from 1 species